CCUUCAAUAGCUCAGCUGGUAGAGCAGAGGACUCUCUGGUCUUAGGUCGCUGGUUCGGUUCUGGCUCAAAGGA
rnacentral:tRNA from 1 species